UUGGAUUUGUUACUUCAAACUUGCAUUUUCAUGCUUCAAAAGACUGGUGUAAUAACGUUUAAGUGGAGCUGACCUAACUUCACUUUCCAAAGCUGAUGUGGGUCUAAGUGCUAACUUCAGUACAUGCUGGAUCCCAUCCAAAAUAAAUAAUCUUAGCAGCAGCAGCAGCAACUGCUCUUGUCAGAUGUACAGUGGACAAGUUUAUGUGAGAUUUAAAAAUAUCAGAACAGACUUUUCAAUUGUGGGGAAGGGAGUAAAAUCCACUUCAUGAGUGUCAGACCAAUUUGCUCUGACCGCUAAGUCUAGGCAUAAAAAUAGGAGCUCUGUUGGAACUUUGCAAAUUACACUUGAUGUGGAUGUUUAAAUAACCUACUACUCAGUACUUUAUGCAGUAAAGUCAAUGUUAAAUGCUUCUAAAUCAGGUCAGCAACAGUUCACAAACAAUAUAAUCACUUUAAACAGCUAAGUAAUUUGUAACGUUUGAGAAUCAGAGCUAUGUUCUUCAGAUCAAUGCUGAAUUGCUUUACUAAAGACCACAUAUGGCACACAACAGUAUAUUUCAAAUAGAAAAUAAACAUAUCAAGGCAGUUUUUCUACUAAGAAGUGAAACAUCCCUAAAUUUUACAUUGGAUGUUUCCAAGUAACACCCCUCACACAAAGUGAAUUUGCAAUUUACUAGCUUGCCAGACUUUACUCAUGGUUUAGAUAUUCCUUCCAGUUUCUUCUAUGAGAUGCCACUUUAGAAACUUGGUAAGUUCCAAAGCUUUUGGAAAGUACUAAGUGACCUUGGACAACCCACCAACUGCUGAAGUGCCUAAAAUGUUUUUCUUUCUCAUAUGCUGAAGUGAACUGCAACAAUUCAGCAACUACUGCUUCAUACUCUGUUUAGUUACCAAGAACAUCUAUAAAGGACUAUACCUACUACGUUACAAAUCAUUUAAACCAGAUAUGCAGUACAAUGAAGGCAACAUACUUGGAGGAGAAAGGAAUCCAUAAGUUAGGCGAGGAUGAUUGUUGUAAAACAAACAUGUCUGGUUAUGAUUAAAAGAAAUACGAACAUCCUUGUGUAAACAGCUGGAGGUAUUUUCUGUAUCAGAAACCCAUUUGUCCUAUUGACAAGAAGAAAGUAUCAUCAGUAAAACAGAUAGUUAACAUACAAUAAUUCUCUUCAGUGUAGGGGAUUGCAGAACUCUCAAUAUUUAGCUGCAACUGCCUUUAAUGAUGUGAAGGGGCUUAACUAAGAUGCAAGAAAUGUUCCUCUUUUGUCACUGGAAAACGAGCCCUCCCAUCUAUUUCAUAUAUUUUGGAAAUAAAGUGAACUGCAGCAUGUUACUUGAGUUGAGAAUAAUAUCCUCCGAAAGAGAACCUAGAAGUGCCCACUAAAGAUAACCUGAUAUACUGUAAAUGUACUUGUCCAUUCAGGCUAGCAAAGGCAGCAAGAUGUGUUAGCCAUCUCUCUCCACUAGGCCACUUGUUCAGAUUAACUGGUUGCUUCAUGCCACUAACCUCAAAAUAUUUAGGAUCAAGCAAAGGAUCCUGUCACAUUACAAAUACUUCUUUAAGACCAUGAAACUGGUGUUGAGACCAGGCUUUAAGGACAGCACUGGCAGACUGCUAUGGCAGACCUACACUGCUGAUCAGUAAGGCAGUGCAGACUCGUAGCGCUUCCGUAUCAAUGACAAUGGGCUUCGCACUUACUGGUGGAUCUGCUUGUUCUGAAGGCAAAACUGCAUCUCAGUCCAAGCAGCACUAAAGAGUCAAGGCCAGUCCUUAUUAAUAUAGGACAGUGAAGAAAAGUUCACACACAAUUCCUCUUUUUAUCACAUAUGGUUCUAUUUAGUUCCCUGGGAGAUAGUAUUGUGAGCAGAUCUAAGAAGCAUUCAGGAAUAACUUACAUCUUUGUUAACAAAGUACGCACUCCACAGAGACAUCCUGUAGUCCUUGCUGUAUCCACUCACAUAGCGGGAAUGGUAAAGAAGGCAGUAAUUAUGGCUCUUCUGCAGAACCCUGGGCCGUCCAUAGGGCAAAGUAAGUUCCUCUAUCUUCUUAACUGUGGCAGAAAUAGUGCUUGUUACAUUUCAGUCAAUCUUGGUUAUUAAGCAUCUUCCUCUUUUAUACACCUAUGGUUGCCUCAAUUUCCAAUUUCCAAACAGAGAAGUCACAGUAACCGACAAAAAAAAAUUGUCAUUCUCAUAUCAAAAGAAUAGUUUCUAUGCUAAGAAAAUAAAUUACAAAGCCAGUAUAAAGCAAUCGUUUAAACUUAACACUGUACAAAUUAAGCUUAUAUUUAAAACAAAAGUUUGCCACUUAAAACAGGAGAUGGAUCUAAGUGGCAAAGUUAAAAUCUUUGUUGACUUUGUGUUUCAAUUUAAAUAUAACAUGGGAUCUGCUUUUAAGUAACAUCUAGAUAGAACAGAAACCAACUGUGGUGUUUUGAAAUUUGCUGAGGGGACUAUUUUAGUAGAAACCACAAAGUCAUAUGUAAAAGUGACAUUUAAAGGACUAAGAAAUAGAGAUCUAAAUAAACAAUACAGUGAAGGACUGGUUGAAUUUUCCGAUGUGCAAGGACUUGCUUUAUAAUGAAUGUGAUAGUCAAAACCUUCCUUCUUCCUCUUUCUCAGGGACCACCUCUCUUUAUAAAGCUUAUAUACAGAGAAAGAUAUCUCCAAAUAUUUUAUGCGCAAUACUGCACCGGGGUUUUCGCAGACCCUUGCCUAAGGCAUUGCCUCUUCAUUGGCAAGCUACUGCAUCCAAUGAAGAGUGAAGUCUUUCUUUUAAAACUGUUUAGGAAAGAAGCUAUGUGGAAUCAGCAGAGGGUAUGUCAUUAGACAGAAGCUGAAAAGUAAGGCAGAGUUAGUGACAUAACUACUUUAGAGUCAAUACCACUUAUC
ensembl:lncRNA